AUUUGAUGGCAUCUUAGUUCUAGUGUUUAGCAUGUUUUCACAUUGAAUAAAAUGACAAUUGAGAAUUUACUCGCUGUCUUCUAAUGUGUCCUUCCAGAUCUUAUCGAUCUUCGCUUAAAAUUGUAUGUUCCGAAAGUAGCCUACAUUGAAUAUAGAUUGACCUAUUAGAUUACACAAUGCAUCCGUUCUGAAUGUAGGCUACACUGCAUAAACUGAUUUUCUUUUCUUUUUUUUCUUCUUUAAAAAUCCGUGUGUGGUAGUGUAGUUAUGGGGUUGCCUGCUUAAUCUUGUGGGAGCUUCACCCGGCUGUUAUGGAGAUUAGAUUUGCAUUUUCAUCAGGACGCGAGCGAAGAAUUAAUCAUUUCUCGAUGUUCCAGAUCAGAGACGACGUCGGGGGCGAAAUUUGCCAGAUCCGAAGUUAAUCCUCCCCCGUGAGCGUGGAAGUGGUGGCUCGUGUGACAGUGCCCCACACACUGAGCUCGCGCACGGAGCGGGACGCUCGUGGUCCUUUUCUACAGUUCUCUUGCAGACAUUAUGUGCCGAGACCAAUAAAGAGAGCGAUGCAUUCGAGGGGAAGACGUUUUGAAUAGGAAAGCGGUGCCCUUGUUCCUACCAAGAGUGAUGGGUUAGGACGGGCAAGCAGGGGCUCGGUUUGAGCAACACUUGCAAGAGAACGUUUUUUUUAACCCUCUCCAGAAAGCCGAGAUAAAGACAGUGAUGGAAGUUGGAUGCCAAUUUAUUUCUCGUUCGGAUACAAGGACUGGCGCGAAUUAAAAAAUAUGGAGAUCAACGUUAAGUUUGACUCCAGAUCCACGGAGAGGAGGAAGGGACUGCAGUUAUGUUUGCUCUACUUCAUGACAGAGGUGUGUCUGAGUUCGCAGCAAGUCCUUAGAAUUGGAGGGAUUUUCGAGACCAUGGAGAACGAGCCUGUGAGCGUCGAAGAGCUCGCUUUCAAAUUCGCCGUCACCAACAUCAACCGGAACAAAACCCUGAUGCCCAACACCACGCUGACGUACGACAUCCAGAGAAUAAACGUCUUCGACAGCUUUGAAGCCUCGCGAAGAGCCUGCGACCAGCUGGCGUUGGGCGUGGCAGCGGUCUUUGGCCCCUCCCACAGCUCCUCGGUCAGCGCGGUGCAGUCCAUCUGCAACGCCCUGGAGGUGCCGCACAUCCAGACGCGCUGGAAGCACCCCUCCGUGGACAACCGGGACACCUUCUACAUCAACCUGCACCCCGAGCACGCCUCCAUCAGCCGGGCCAUCCUGGACGUGGUGCAGUUCUACCAGUGGAGGGCCGUGACGGUGGUUUACGAGGACAGCACCGGCCUGAUGCGUCUGCAGGAGCUGAUCAAAGCCCCAUCCAGGUACAACAUCAAGGUGAAGAUCCGCCAGCUGCCCCCGGGGAACGCCGACGCCCGGCCCCUGCUCAAGGAGAUGAAGAAGGGCAAGGAGUUCUUCGUCAUCUUCGACUGCUCCUACCAGACCGCCGCCGAGAUCCUCAAGCAGAUCAUGUCGAUGGGAAUGAUGACCGAAUAUUACCACUUCUUUUUCACUACUCUGGACAUGUUUGCCCUGGAUCUGGACCCGUACCGCUUCAGCGGAGUGAACAUGACGGGGUUCCGCCUACUCAACAUGGACAGCCCGUACGUGGCCUCCGUGAUGGAAAAGUGGUCUAUGGAGCGUGUGCAGGCCCCACCCAGACUCGUGAUGGGUCUCCGGGAUGGCGUGAUGACGACAGAGGCAGCCCUGAUGUACGACGCCGUGUACAUGGUUGCCGUGGCGGCGCAGCGCUCCACCCAGAUGACCGUCAGCUCCCUGCAGUGCCACAGGCACAAGCCCUGGCGCUUCGGACCCCGCUUCAUGAAUCUGUUCAAGGAAGCACAGUGGGACGGCCUGACUGGACACGUGCUCCUCAACAGGACGGACGGCUUGAGGAAAGAGUUUGAGUUGGACGUCAUCAGCCUGAAGGAGAACGGAACGGCGAAGGUGAGCGAGAUUGCGGUUUGGAACUCCAUAACUGGGCUGAACUUGACUGACCUCAGCCUGGACGCGGGCAACGUCUCUGAUUCCAUGGCGAACAGAACGCUCAUCGUCACCACUAUUCUGGAGAACCCGUACGUCAUGUACAAGAAGUCGGACAAAGAGCUGUACGGUAACGACAGGUUCGAGGGCUACUGCCUGGACCUGCUGAAGGAGCUGUCGAACAUCCUGGGCUUCGCGUACGAGGUGAAGCUGGUGUCGGACGGGAAGUACGGGGCGCAGAACGACAAGGGCGAGUGGAACGGCAUGGUGCGGGAGCUCAUCGACCACAUAGCUGACCUGGCGGUCGCGCCUCUGACCAUCACCUACGUGAGGGAGAAGGUGAUCGAUUUCUCAAAGCCGUUCAUGACCCUGGGCAUCAGCAUCCUGUACCGCAAGCCCAACGGCACCAACCCGGGGGUGUUCUCCUUCCUCAACCCGCUGUCCCCCGACAUCUGGAUGUACGUGCUGCUGGCCUGCCUGGGGGUCAGCUGCGUCCUGUUCGUCAUCGCCAGGUUUACCCCCUAUGAGUGGUAUAACCCACACCCCUGCAACCCCGAUUCGGACGUGGUGGAAAACAAUUUUACUUUGCUAAAUAGUUUCUGGUUUGGAGUGGGAGCCCUCAUGCAACAAGGGUCAGAGCUGAUGCCUAAAGCUCUGUCCACCAGAAUCGUCGGAGGGAUCUGGUGGUUCUUUACGUUAAUAAUAAUAUCGUCAUACACUGCCAACCUGGCUGCCUUUUUGACGGUCGAAAGAAUGGACUCGCCAAUCGAUUCUGCGGACGAUUUGGCGAAGCAAACAAAAAUUGAGUAUGGGGCCGUGCGAGAUGGAUCCACCAUGACAUUUUUUAAGAAAUCCAAGAUCUCCACGUACGAGAAGAUGUGGGCUUUCAUGAGCAGCCGAAAAAACACGGCUCUGGUGAAGAACAACCGCGAGGGCAUCCAGCGGGUCCUGACCACGGACUACGCGCUCCUCAUGGAGUCCACCAGCAUCGAGUACAUCAGCCAGAGGAACUGCAACCUCACUCAGAUCGGAGGGCUGAUAGAUUCCAAGGGAUACGGUGUGGGAACCCCUAUCGGCUCUCCGUACAGGGACAAGGUGACCAUCGCCAUCCUCCAGCUGCAGGAGGAAGGCAAGCUCCACAUGAUGAAGGAGAAGUGGUGGAGGGGGAACGGCUGCCCCGAGGAGGACAGCAAGGAGGCCAGCGCCCUGGGCGUGGAGAACAUCGGCGGCAUUUUCAUCGUGCUGGCCGCCGGACUCGUCCUGUCCGUCUUCGUGGCCAUCGGCGAGUUCAUAUACAAAUCCAGGAAGAACACGGACAUCGAGGAGGCCUUUUGCUUCUAUUACGGAGUGCAAUCCAAGCCGUUGCAAAGGCGCCUCUCCAACGCUUCCUCCGAAAGCUGUCUGUCGACGGAUGUAGAAUGUGGUAAACUUCUCCAAGAAGAUCUUUUGCGAUCUCCACGCUAGAUACCACGCCGCUUAGUUGUUUGCUUUGGUCAAGGUGUGUCCGUGGCCCUUCAGAAAUAGGCCCGCCUCCCCUCUAAACACUGUCCCCAGGCCCCUCCCCCAGUCCCUAAGCCCCACCCCUCCACCCAGUCCCCGUCCGCUCCCCUCGUUUUUCUGUGAGGUUGUAGCUACGUUUCCUACAAGCGCCCACAAUGUAGAUGCUCACUCCAGAGAACCUGAGGUCUAAAUUGUGGGAGGAACUGGCCUUCAAGAAAAAAAAUACAAGCCUAGUUCACAUUAUUUCAUUUGUUUACAGAGGGGUACAGAACAACAGCUUCUCAAUGCAGAACUUGCAUAUUAACUCUGUGACAUAUCAGAGGGCUGUGUGUACUGGUUUCUCCUCCAGCUCUCAGCCAAUUAGGUCUGCAUAUAUUCAUUGUCAUGGAUGGCUUUAUGUAAGAGUGAAAACACACACACACACACACACACACACACAGGCCUGUAGAAACUCCCCUCCUUCACUUAGUUUUAUUGAACUAUGAAGUGCACCCCUCCUGGUGAAAUCCUGAAAACACACACAAACUAAGGAAGCAAUUUGGUAAAGAGUAUGGAGACUAAAUUCUCUGUCAGCAUGCCCUGUAUCCCAGCAUGCAUUGCUUGGUUUGUGCCAAUCAGAACUCUGGGUUCAGGUUUUCAAGCUUUCAGCAGAUGGUGUGUCCUUUAUGAUGUCAUAAAGGAAAAGUGAACAAGGGGCGGGGCAGAUACAUCUCAAAGUGUCAACUGGGCUUAAGAAAAAAAUACGGAAAAAAAUUCUAACUCAUUAAUGCAAAACUUUUUAUUUUUAGAGCUGAAGCUAUUAGUGAAUUUAGUUUGACCUUGACACUCGAGGAAGGUCAAAAACAGAAGCAGAGGAUUACAAAUCUGACAUUUGAAAGUCAUUAAAAGUAAUGGAAAACGAUAGCACCUGCAAUGUAGAUGCUGAGCUUUACCCUGAACAUUGGAUGUCUGUUCUCUCAGUUUUACCCCAGUUUCUUGUUGAGUGAGCAAUUUAAUUAUUGAACAGGCCCUUUAAAUAUCACCAUUGUGAAAACGGUUGCAUUUAUUUGUGGCUUGCCAUCCCCAUACUGCUGUCUUCUUGAGAAUUUACAACAGCUUCUCUUGUAAAUUAAGAGCCCAUUAUGGAUUAUAUUAGGAAAGGUAGUCCUGCAGGAAGGUUUAAGCUGUCGAGAAGAAGGUAGGUGUGUGUGUGUGUGUGUGUGUGUGUGUGUGUGUGUGUGUGAGAGAGAGGGAGAGAGUGAGAGAAAGAGAGAGGGGGAAAUAACCAAUCAUCUGCGAGGAAAAACCCCCAAUACAUGUAUGAACUAUGCUGCCCUGCAUGAAAAUUAAACUAUAAAAAUAACUGCAUAAAAAUUACCUCAUGAAUACAUGUACAGUUAGUGCAAUAUCACUUAUAUACCUAUAACCCAUUUGGCUGGCCAGUUAAAACACUUUAAAGCCAUUUUUCUCAG